rnacentral:rRNA from 1 species
AUACGUAGGGGGCGAGCGUUGUCCGGAAUCAUUGGGCGUAAAGGGCGUGUAGGCGGUUUUGUAAGUCAGAUGUGAAAACUUGAGGCUCAACUUCAAGCCUGCAUCUGAAACUACAUCACUUGAGGGCAGGAGAGGAAAGUGGAAUUCCAUGUGUAGCGGUGAAAUGCGUAGAUAUAUGGAAGAACACCAGUGGCGAAGGCGACUUUCUGGACUGAACCUGACGCUGAGGCGCGAAAGCCAGGGGAGC